GAUCCUGCCAGUAGUGUAUGCUUCUCCUAAAGAUUAAGCCAUGCAUGUCGUGAAUAUGAGGUGACGGUCUCUCUGAAUCUGCGAACGGCUCCGCAAACCAGUUGCAAUACCUAGCACGCUCAGCCUUGGGGCCUCGGCUCCUUGGCACCGAUACGGAUAUCCCUGGUAAUUCUGGGGCUAAUACAUGGCUAACCCCAACGCGUACGGCCCCACGGGGGCGCUUCACGGCGCCCUAUCCAACGUGCGGUGACCUGCGCGGGGCGCGUGAAAUCAUACCAAGCUYGGGCAAAAAUCAUUCAGUCGGGACAGAACGCACGCCCAGACCUGCACGCUUCACGGCAACUGGGGAAACUCACGACGGCGGCGGGCCCGGCUUCGGCCUGGGCUUUGACCGUCCUGACGGGGAUCCUCGGGCAGGCAGGUGCCACGGCUUCUGACCUAUCAACUAGAAUGCGGUAAAAUGGGCUGCAAUGGUCGCAACGGGUACAGAGGAUUAGGGUUCGAUCCUGGAGAGUGGGCCUGAGAGAUUGCUCCUACUUCUAAGGAAGGCAGCAGGCGCGCAAAGUUCCCAGUGGACACCAGUCCGAGGGCGUUAGGGGAAAUAUGAAUGGUCAUCAUUAUGGUGGCCAAUUCAAAUGGGUCUGUCGUAAACUGACUCUCGAGUAACAAUUAGAGGACAAGUCUGGUGCCAGCACCCGCGGUAAUUCCAGCUCCAAUAGCAUACGUUAAAGUUGUUGCGGUUAAAACGCUCGUAGUCGCGGUCGGGCCGUUGAAAGGCUGUGCGAGUGAACCUGCGUCGCGCCUCGUAAAAAGGGUGCACCUGGGGAUCGAGUGCGGCAAGACGGCGGUCCAACCAAGGUGCCCGUUGUGCGUGCGGUGGGCUUGCUCACUGAUUACAGGGGCCUCGCUUGCGGGGUCCUGGCCGGCGGGUUGCCGUGAUUGCCGUGAUUAAACUGGCGUGAUCAAGGCACGGCUUCACGCCUCUUGCACAGCCCAGCAUGGCAUGAAAGCAGCCGGUGCGGCGUCGUUCCCUUUCCCGGGCUCCGGCGUCGCGCCAAAGCGCACCUAAAGGGUUGUUUCCAGGGCGGCCGAAUUGUCGGGCGAGUGGUGAAAUACGUUGACCCUGGCAAGUCGACCAAAGGCGAAAGCAGCUGCCCGGGGCCUUCCCGUUGAUCAAGAGCGAAAGUUAAGGGCUCGAAGACGAUCAGAUACCGUCGUAGUCUUAACUAUAAAUGAUACUGACCAGGUAUAGGGCGAUGUCCAUACCGACUCCCUCCGCGCCUUCGGGAAACUACAGUCUUUGAGUUCCGGGGGGAGUAUGGUCGCAAGUCUGAAACUUAAAGGAAUUGACGGAAGGGCACACAAAGAGUGGAACCUGCGGCUUAAUUUGACUCAACACGGGACAACUCACCGGGUCAAGAUACAGUGAUGAAGGACAGGCGGAAAGACCUUUCCCAAUAAUGUAAGUGGUGGUGCAUGGCCGUUCUUAGUUCGUGGAGUGAUUUGUCUGGUCUAUUCCGAUAACGAGCGAGAUCUCAAUGUUUAACUAUGGGGUGCGCAGCCCGGCCCGUGCUCCGCGCCUGUGCUCGUGCGCGCUGGGGCAACCUGGCGUACGCGGGUGUGGGAAUUGGGAGUGCGGUGCCAGCCGCCACCUGUGAGCGCGAGCUUCUUCUUAGACAGAUCGGGGCCGAUAAGGUCCCUGAAAUGAGGCAAUAACAGGUCAGUGAUGCCCUUAGAUGUUCCGGGCCGCACGCGGGUUACAAUGGCAUGAAGAACGCGUAUACCUUCCGUCAAAGGGAGUACAUCCUUGGAAGGCAGCCCCGCCACCUAAAGGUCGGCGGUAAUCCCUAGUCCAUGCCUCGACUGGGAUAGUCUAUUGGAAUUAUUGGUCUUGAACGAGGAAUUUUUAGUAGGCGCGCGUCAUUACCGCGCGCCGAAUUAUCCCUGCCCUUUGUACACACCGCCCGUCGCUGCUACCGAUUGGAAUAUGUCAGUUACGCGUUCAGAAAAUUGGGUCACCUGGUCGGGCCUCCCGUCGGCUGGGGGGCCCCCC
rnacentral:rRNA from 1 species